AUUGAACGCUGGCGGAAUGCUUUACACAUGCAAGUCGAACGGUAGAGGGGGCAACCCCUCGAGAGUGGCGAACGGGUGAGUAAUAUAUCGGAACGUGCCCAGUCGUGGGGGAUAACGUAGCGAAAGUUACGCUAAUACCGCAUACGAUCUAAGGAUGAAAGCGGGGGAUCGCAAGACCUCGCGCGAUUGGAGCGGCCGAUAUCAGAUUAGGUAGUUGGUGGGGUAAAGGCCCACCAAGCCAACGAUCUGUAGCUGGGCUGAGAGGACGACCAGCCACACUGGAACUGAGACACGGUCCAGACUCCCACGGGAGGCAGCAGUGGGGAAUUUUGGACAAUGGGCGAAAGCCUGAUCCAGCCAUUCCGCGUGCAGGAUGAAGGCCCUCGGGUUGUAAACUGCUUUUGUACAGAACGAAAGGGUUUCUACUAAUACUAGGAGCUCAUGACGGUACUGUAAGAAUAAGCACCGGCUAACUACGUGCCAGCCGCCGCCGUAA
rnacentral:rRNA from 1 species